GUCUCAAUUAUGUACACCUGUAAUCCUAGCUACUUGGGAGACUGAGGCAGGAGGAUCACUUGAGCCCAGGAAUUUGGGAUAGUCUGGGCCACAGAGGGAGACCCCAUCUCAG
rnacentral:sRNA from 1 species